GUUAGAGGCAUUUUUACUUUUUCCUAGAGCAUAACAUAUGGAUCACAAUACCAAAAACCACCCAGGUCAUACAUUGGCUGUGGAGCUGAGCCAAUUUGGAACAGGCAAACUGGCUAAGCCUGGGCUUUGUCCCUGAGGGUGCACUGACGUUUUCUGUUCUUCCAGAGACAGGUUUAUGGAUAAGGCGCUGUGCCUCCAGGCAGAAGACAGACGCCCAUGUGGAUGAUGUUGCUGGCAGGGCUGAGCCACCAGAGAGCUCCUUGACCCAAUGCUUGCCAAAACUGUGUGGUUCAUCCAAUCUGGAGUCUCUGCCUGCAGAUCACUCACUCAUCAGCUCCACCCACUGGUUCACUGUCUACUUGCAUGUAGUGAGCUAGGCUAUGAGUGGUAGGAAUUGCUCUUCCUACCACUGGACCUUGCCGCUGUCAGAAUGGGAAGUCUGAGCUCAGUCACUUGAGUCAACAGUAAAGGAGAGGCUUGGAGUCCAAGAUUGGCUGUGCCCCUCUGGAUAAGGUGGCUGUACUGAUGCAGAGGUACUGCUCUUCUAUGGCCAGAGUUUGCUGGGACAUCACUCUCAUCCAUUGGGAUCUAAAGAACCUCCGCUUAGCCAUCAUGGAAACAUGGGGUGCUGAGGGAGAAAGGUGGACCUGGGAAGGAGCCAUGAUUGGGCCUCUGUCACCUUAAGUUUUAUGGAUUCAACAACUUUGAGAGAUCCUGCUGCUGACGGGACAUUCUCCAGCAAGGAUGGAGAUGGGUGCUCUGGUCUGAGAGUCCACGCUAUCCUGAGGAAUGUUGACAGCUGAAGGAUUCAAGGUUUCCUGAGAUCUUUGGACCAAAAAAAAAGCUCCUGGAUAUCAGGGCUGAGGAAGACAAGCUACCGUCUUAAUACCUGCUGGCAGAGUUCCCUAGAGACAGGCCUCUGAGGAAGGGGGGGCCCAGGCAGAGGAGCUGUGGAUGUUAAAGGGGACCCAGAAGGAGGAGCAUCUUCCCCAACCCCCAUAAACAGCAGAAGUUCAGCUUGUAUGGUCAAUCAACCUUGACCCUCCCAGCAGGAGUCAUCUUGCUACAAGCUGCCCUCAUCAGGAAGCCUGCCCAGAUGGCUGCAAAAGUCAGGAGAUACAAGCUUCAGCCAGAAGCAGAAUGGGAGCUGGGCACGAUGGCUCACACCUUUAAUCUCAGCACUUUGGGAGGCCAAGGCAGAAGGAUUGCUUGAGGUCAGGAGUUUGAGACCAGCCUGGCAAACAUGGUGACCCUGUCACUACAAAAAAUACAAAAAUUAGCUAGGUGUGGUGGCAGGUGUCUGUAAUCCCAGCUACUCAGGGGGCUGAGGCAGGAGAAUUGCUUGAACCCAGGAGGUAAAGGGUUGCAGUGAGGUGAGAUUGCAUCACUGCACUCCAGCCUGGGUGACAGAGCAAGACUCUAAAACAAAAAAACAAAAACAAAACAGAAUGGGGAUAGAUAGAAGGCCCAGCAGGCCUGGCGGGAGUUGCAUUCUCCCACACCAUGGGCAUUGUGGAACUUCUCUUAUUCCUCAUGCUGGGGCUUUCUUUCACAUUCCCUUCCUGUGGGAUUCCCCUCCCAUGCCAACCUCAGCAGCACUAGGGCCCUGGAGUCACACAGGCCAUGCUAGGAAAAGGGGUACAGGAAAGGUGAAGAGAUUAAUCAAUACGUGCUUUUCCAAAGAGCAAGCAAGUACAGUGUCAACAUGAGCUCCUUUCUGGCAAUCUCUCCUAGCUGGGAAACCAGGGGACUCGGUCACACGUGGUGAAGGUAGGAGUGAAGGGAUCAUAGAGAAGGCUGGGGAAGGUCCUGGGACACUAGACUCUUGACAGCCCCAGCCUCUGGUACACAGGGUGGAGUGGUCAGUGACAACAGUCCACAGGCUCAAGUAUGUCACCACGUGUUAUACUUGAAAGUGCUUUCUUAUACGUUAUCCCGUAUGAUCUACGUACCUGUGUUGUGGGGGAUACAGGCCAAGUGUAUCUCAAGGAGGAAUCUGAGCCUCCAGGAAGUUAAAUAUUUGUCCAAAAUCUGAAUCUCAAAGGUUUGCCUCCAGCUACUCUUCCCACUGCACCUCACAGCGCCAUCUAGUGGGUGAGACCCAUGGGCCGGCUCCAUCAUUCUUUCAUUUCAGGGGAUGGACAGAGCAGGCAAUCUCCUAAGCAUUCCAGAUUCGGAUUCCUUUUUAUGAGUGUCCCUGCUGGGGGCUUUAUCUUCUGAGAGUAAUGGGCUCUAGAAGCUGACACAGCCUCAGAGGCUGUGGACCGGGGUCCUCAUGGGAAAGGAGAGAUUAAGUUUAGACCUUGAGAGUUCUGGGCUGAACAGGCAGAACCUUCUACUGUUGACUGAAUGUUUAUAUCUCCCUAGUUCAUGUGUUGAAAUCCUAAUCCCCGGUCCAACAGUAUUAGGAAGCGAGGCUUUUGGGAGGUGAGUAGAUUGUGGCGGAGGAGCCUUCAUGAGUGGAAUUAGUGGCCUAAUAAAAGAGACCCCUGAGAACCCCGUUGUCUGUUUUACCAUGUGAGGACAUAGUGGGCGUCACCGGAUACUGAAUCUGCCAGUGCCCUGAUUUUGGCAUUUGCACCCUUCAGCAGUGUGAGAGAUCAAUU
rnacentral:lncRNA from 1 species